rnacentral:tRNA from 1 species
UGCGCGGUAGUGAAAUCGGGAUCACACUGGUCUCAUAAGCCAGCAUUACGAGUUCGAGUCUCGUCUGCGCAAC